rnacentral:rRNA from 1 species
CAGUAGCCGCGGUAAUACGUAGGGUGCGAGCGUUAAUCGGAAUUACUGGGCGUAAAGCGUGCGCAGGCGGUUCGUUAAGACAGAUGUGAAAUCCCCGGGCUUAACCUGGGAACUGCAUUUGUGACUGGCGAGCUAGAGUAUGGCAGAGGGGGGUAGAAUUCCACGUGUAGCAGUGAAAUGCGUAGAGAUGUGGAGGAAUACCGAUGGCGAAGGCAGCCCCCUGGGCCAAUACUGACGCUCAUGCACGAAAGCGUGGGGAGCAAACAGGAUUAGAGACCCCCGUAGUCCCUGUCUCUUAUAC